AAAGCCUUCGGGCGGUAUAAGAUGGCCAUGCGUCCCAUUAGCUUGUUGGUAAGGUAACGGCUUACCAAAACUACGAUGGGUAGGGGCCCUGAGAGGGGGAUCCCCCACACUGGUACUGAGACACGGACCAGACUCCUACGGGAGGCAGCAGUGAGGAAUAUUGGACAAUGGAGGAGACUCUGAUCCAGCCAUGCCGCGUGCAGGAAGAAUGCCUUAUGGGUAGUAAACUGCUUUUAUACGGGAAGAAAAAAGAGUACGUGUACUCUACUGACGGUACCGUAAGAAUAAGGACCGGCUAACUCCGUGCCAGCAGCCGCGGUAAUACGGAGGGUCCGAGCGUUAUCCGGAAUUAUUGGGUUUAAAGGGUCCGUAGGCGGGCCGAUAAGUCAGGGGUGAAAGUUUGCAGCUCAACUGUAAAAUUGCCUUUGAUACUGUUGGUCUUGAGUUAUAGUGAAGUUGCCGGAAUAUGUAGUGUAGCGGUGAAAUGCAUAGAUAUUACAUAGAACACCGAUUGCGAAGGCAGGUGACUAACUAUAUACUGACGCUGAUGGACGAAAGCGUGGGGAGCGAACAGGAUUAGAUACCCUGGUAGUCCACGCCGUAAACGAUGGAUACUAGCUGUCCGAGGCCUUGAGUCUUGGGCGGCCAAGCGAAAGUGAUAAGUAUCCCACCUGGGGAGUACGUUCGCAAGAAUGA
rnacentral:rRNA from 1 species